rnacentral:rRNA from 1 species
UGACUUAGUGGCGGACGGGUGAGUAACACGUGAGCAACCUGCCUUUCAGAGGGGGAUAACGGCUGGAAACGACUGCUAAUACCGAAUACGCUCAUGAUGAACGUUGUGAGGAAAGGUGGCCUCUGCUUGCAAGCUAUCGCAUAGAGAUGAGUCCGCGUCCCAUUAGCUCGUUGGUGGGGUAACGGCCUACCAAGGCAACGAUGGGUAGCCGAUCUGAGAGGAUGAUCGGCCACACUGGAACUGAAACACGGUCCAGACUCC